AGGGAGUGAAGAAUUUCUAAAAGAAGCUGCUAACUAUCUUUUAAAGCGGUUAAAUUCCGUUUAUCCCUU
rnacentral:tRNA from 1 species